UACGUAGGGCGCAAGCGUUAUCCGGAAUUAUUGGGCGUAAAGAGCUCGUAGGCGGUUUGUCGCGUCUGCCGUGAAAGUCCGGGGCUCAACUCCGGAUCUGCGGUGGGUACGGGCAGACUAGAGUGAUGUAGGGGAGACUGGAAUUCCUGGUGUAGCGGUGAAAUGCGCAGAUAUCAGGAGGAACACCGAUGGCGAAGGCAGGUCUCUGGGCAUUAACUGACGCUGAGGAGCGAAAGGAUGGGGAGCGAACAGG
rnacentral:rRNA from 1 species